UACGUAGGUCGCAAGCGUUGUCCGGAAUUAUUGGGCGUAAAGAGCUCGUAGGCGGCCUGUUGCGUCCGCUGUGAAAGCCCGGGGCUUAACCCCGGGUCUGCAGUGGAUACGGGCAGGCUAGAGGUAGGUAGGGGAGAAUGGAAUUCCCGGUGUAGCGGUGAAAUGCGCAGAUAUCGGGAGGAACACCGGUGGCGAAGGCGGUUCUCUGGGCCUUACCUGACGCUGAGGAGCGAAAGCGUGGGGAGCGAACAGG
rnacentral:rRNA from 1 species